rnacentral:rRNA from 1 species
AAUUGAAGAGUUUGAUCCUGGCUCAGAACGAACGCUGGCGGCGUGGAUUAGGCAUGCAAGUCGAACGAGGCCGCGCUGGAUCGCAAGGUUUGGCGCGAGUCGAGUGGCGAAAGGGUGAGUAACGCACAGAUAACCUACCUUCGCGCUCGGGAUAACGGCGUUCACCGCAAGGUGAACUAGCGAAAGUGCCGCUAAUACCGGAUGCUGUUGCGCUGACGCAUGUCGGCGCAAGCAAAGGCGGGGACCCGCAAGGGCCUGCCGCGCGCUGAGGGGUCUGUGUCCUAUCAGCUAGUUGGUGAGGUAACGGCUCACCAAGGCUUACGGGUAGCCGACCUGAGAGGGUGACCGGCCACAUUGGGACUGAGACACUGCCCAGACUCCUACGGGAGGCUGCAGUCGAGGAUCUUCUGCAAUGGGCGAAAGCCUGACAGAGCGACGCCGCGUGAGGGAUGAAGGCCUUCGGGUUGUAAACCUCUUUGAAGCGUUAAGAACGACAUCAGCCAUAACAUGGCCGGUGUUCUGACUAAGGCGCUAGAACAAGCUACGGCUAACUACGUGCCAGCAGCAGCGGUAAUACGUAGGUAGCGAGCGUUGUUCGGAAUCACUGGGCGUAAAGAGCACGUAGGCGGCCUGGUAAGUCAGAUGUGAAAGCCCUCGGCUUAACCGAGGAACAGCAUCUGAUACUGCCGGGCUUGAGGGUCGGAGGGGGGAGUGGAACUCUAGGUGUAGCGGUGAAAUGCGUAGAUAUCUAGAGGAACGCCGGUGGCGAAAGCGACUCCCUAGAAGACCCCUGACGCUGAGUGUGCGAAAGCUAGGGGAGCAAACGGGAUUAGAUACCCCGGUAGUCCUAGCUGUAAACGAUGGGCACUAAGUAGGUUGUCGUCCGAUCGGUGACCUGCCGUAGCCAACGCAAUAAGUGCCCCGCCUGGGAAGUACGGUCGCAAGAUUAAAACUCAAAGGAAUUGACGGGGACUCGCACAAGCGGUGGAGUAUGUGGCUUAAUUCGAGGCAACGCGAAGAACCUUACCGGGGCUUGACAUGUACGUAGUAGAAGCCUGAAAGGGUGACGAGUCCGAGCAAUCGGACAGCGUACACAGGUGCUGCAUGGCUGUCGUCAGCUCGUGCCGUGAGGUGUCGGGUUAAGUCCCAUAACGAGCGAAACCCUUGUCACUAGUUACCAUCAGGUCAUGCUGGGGACUCUAGUGAGACUGCCCCUGUUAAAGGGGAGGAAGGUGGGGACGACGUCAAGUCAUCAUGGCCCUUAUGUCCCGGGCUGCACACGUACCACAAUGGCCGGUACAGAGGGAAGCAAGGCCGCGAGGCGGAGCUAAACCCAAAAAGCCGGUCCCAGUUCGGAUCGAGGGCUGCAACCCGCCCUCGUGAAGUCGGAAUCGCUAGUAAUCGCGGAUCAGCUACGCCGCGGUGAAUAUGUUCCCGAGUCUUGUACACACCGCCCGUCAAGCCAUGGAAGCUGGGAGCACCCGAAGUCGCUUGCCCAACCCGCAAGGGAGGACGGCGCCGAAGGUGAGACCGGUGACUGGGACUAAGUCGUAACAAGGUAGCCGUAGGAGAACCUGCGGCUGGAUCACCUCCUUUCUAAGGA